UCAGAACACAAGUCCUUUCCUAUUCAAGACUCUGUUUUACAUUUGGUGUCCAUUUGUGUGUAUUUUAGGUGAUAAAGGAUGACCCUCUAACCGACUGUGUGGAUCACCAUGCCACAGAAAAGCUACCAGAAAGCAAACCGGACACCCAGUCCAUACACAGUGAUCUUUCCUCCAGUUCUGGCAGUCUGGCUGAGAGUAACAGUUCUGCAGGCAAACAGGUAAACCUGUUUAUCCCAGGUGCUGAGGCAUACACCUUCUUAGUAUAGAAAUAGAACCGUGCUAGUAGAGGAACAUUUUAUUAUCACUACUAAGUGAUUUCUGUGUUCACCUGUUUUUUUUCAGAACCCUGGGAUGUUCAAGGGAAUGAUGCAGAAAGUCAACCCAUUCAAAUCUACAGCACUGACCCAGGAGACUCAGCCGUCAUACAGCGAUUCAUCCUCCAGUUCUGACAGUCUGAGUGACACCAGCGUCUUCAGUCCUGCGGAGAAUCAGACCGUGUGGUACACAGACAGCGAAGCAACUUCUUCAGUGAAAAGUGGACCUCAACCACCACAAGAAAAUAAAAAAAAGACUGGGGCAUGUCGCUCUUUUAUUUAAUCAUACUAUUAUAUUAUACAAUCAAAUGUAUUUUAAAAUUAAGCAAUAAGGCCAGAGGGAUUGUGGUAUAUGGCCAAUAUACCUUGGCUAAGGGCCGUUCUUAUGCCCGACGCAAAAGGGAGUGCCUCGAUACAGGCUUUAGCCAUGGUAUAUUGGCCAUAUACCACAAACACCAGAGGUGCCUUAUUUCUAUUAUAAACUGGUCGCCAACAUAAUUAGAGCAGUAAAAAAUAAAUGUUUUGUCAUACCCGUGGUAUGCGGUCUGAUAUACCAUGGCUAUCAGCCAAUCAACAUUCAGGGCUUGAACCACCCAGUUAAUAAAGCCAUUUUUACAUCAGCACUUGUCACAAAGUACUACACUAUAACACUAUCAUCCUAUUUAAGUACAUCAUCUACAUAGGGGCCUCUUCAUAGGGCGUGUGUUCUUAUGUUUCUGUCUGUUUGUUUCUCUGGUAGACAUUCCAAAUCCGAAGGAUUCUCCCUGGUGCCCUGUUUGGCUAUGGAGCUAAGGAUUCUCCCUGGUGCCCUGUUCGGCUAUGGAGCAAAGGAUUCUCCCUGGUGCCCUGUUCGGCUAUGGAGC
rnacentral:lncRNA from 1 species